UGAGUAAUGUCUGGGAAACUGCCCGAUGGAGGGGGAUAACUACUGGAAACGGUAGCUAAUACCGCAUAACGUCUUCGGACCAAAGUGGGGGACCUUCGGGCCUCACGCUAUCGGAUGUGCCCAGAUGGGAUUAGCUAGUAGGUGGGGUAAUGGCUCACCUAGGCGACGAUCCCUAGCUGGUCUGAGAGGAUGACCAGCCACACUGGAACUGAGACACGGUCCAGACUCCUACGGGAGGCAGCAGUGGGGAAUAUUGCACAAUGGGCGCAAGCCUGAUGCAGCCAUGCCGCGUGUAUGAAGAAGGCCUUCGGGUUGUAAAGUACUUUCAGCGGGGAGGAAGGCGAUGAGGUUAAUAACCUCGUCGAUUGACGUUACCCGCAGAAGAAGCACCGGCUAACUCCGUGCCAGCAGCCGCGGUAAUACGGAGGGUGCAAGCGUUAAUCGGAAUUACUGGGCGUAAAGCGCACGCAGGCGGUCUGUCAAGUCAGAUGUGAAAUCCCCGGG
rnacentral:rRNA from 1 species